UUUCCGUAGGUGAACCUGCGGAAGGAUCAUUAACGUAUCUCGGCGAGGUCCGAACCGCCCUGCUCCGGUCGAGAGGCCGUGCAGCGGGCGAUCGGCCGCGUCAGCCUUCACAAACCCCACCGUGCACUUUCACGGCGGAGGGCGGCUUUGGCGAGAGCCUGGCCGUCCGAAGCCGUUCCACAAACACCAGUAUCAACGAAUGAAGUGCGUCCACCGAGUCGCCUAAAAACAAAACAACUUUCAACAACGGAUCUCUUGGCUCUCGCAUCGAUGAAGAACGCAGC
rnacentral:misc_RNA from 1 species